UACGUAGGGGGCUAGCGUUGUCCGGCAUCAUUGGGCGUAAAGAGCGUGUAGGCGGUCCGGUAAGUCCGCUGUGAAAGUCGGGGGCUCAACCCUCGAAUGCCGGUGGAUACUGUCGGGCUAGAGUGCGGAAGAGGCGAGUGGAAUUCCUGGUGUAGCGGUGAAAUGCGCAGAUAUCAGGAGGAACACCUAUUGCGAAGGCAGCUCGCUGGGACGUUACUGACGCUGAGACGCGAAAGCGUGGGGAGCAAACAGG
rnacentral:rRNA from 1 species